rnacentral:rRNA from 1 species
AGUUGUUGCAGUUAAAAAGCUCGUAGUUGGAUCUCAGGUCCGGCUCGAGGUCCACCUCGCGGUGGCUACUUCCUGUCCUGACCUACCAUCCGGUUUUCCCUUGGUGCUCUUGAUUGAGUGUCUCGGGUGGCCAGAACGUUUACUUUGAAAAAAUUAGAGUGUUCAAAGCAGGUGCAUCGCCUGAAUAAUGGUGCAUGGAACAAUGGAACAGGACCUCGGUUCUAUUUUGUUGGUUUUCGGAAGUCGAGGUAAUGAUUAAGAGGGACAGACGGGGGCAUUCGUAUUACGGUGUUAGAGGUGAAAUUCUUGGAUCGCCGUAAGACGAACUACUGCGAAAGCAUUUGCCAAGAAUGUUUUCAUUAAUCAAGAACGAAAGUCAGAGGUUCGAAGACGAUCAGAUUCCGUCGUAGUUCUGACCAUAAACGAUGCCAACUAGCGAUCCGCCGGAGUUGUUUCAAUGACUCGGCGGGCAGCUUCCGGGAAACCAAAGUUUGUGGGUUCCGGGGGAAGUAUGGUUGCAAAGCUGAAACUUAAAGGAAUUGACGGA